UACUCCUACGGGAGGCAGCAGUAGGGAAUCUUCCGCAAUGGACGAAAGUCUGACGGAGCGACGCCGCGUGAGUGAUGAAGGUCUUCGGAUCGUAAAACUCUGUUGUUAGGGAAGAACAAGUAUCGAUCUAAUACAUCGGUACCUUGACGGUACCGCCA
rnacentral:rRNA from 1 species